GAGAUACCCCUAUGGAGCAGGGCUUGCUUCAGUGGGGCUUUGGUGCUCACUGAGUCUGCCCCUUGAGUGUGUUGCU
rnacentral:pre_miRNA from 1 species